UUCAGAGGUCUCGAGCGUUGUUCGGAUUUACUGGGCGUAAAGGGAGCGUAGGCGGCCGGGUGUGUCGAAUGUGAAAGCCCACAACUCAACUGUGGAAUGGCAUUCGAAACUACCUGGCUAGAGUACUGGAGAGGAGAGCGGAAUUCUUGGUGUAGCGGUGAAAUGCAUAGAUAUCACGAGGAACUCCGAUUGCGCAGGCAGCUUACUAAACUACUACUGACGCUCAUGCACGAAGGCGUGGGGAGUCAAACAGGA
rnacentral:rRNA from 1 species